rnacentral:rRNA from 1 species
AUUGAACGCUGGCGGCAGGCCUAACACAUGCAAGUCGAGCGGAUGAGGGGAGCUUGCUCCUGGAUUCAGCGGCGGACGGGUGAGUAAUGCCUAGGAAUCUGCCUGGUAGUGGGGGAUAACGUCCGGAAUCGGGCGCUAAUACCGCAUACGUCCUGAGGGAGAAAGUGGGGGAUCUUCGGACCUCACGCUAUCAGAUGAGCCUAGGUCGGAUUAGCUAGUUGGUGGGGUAAAGGCCUACCAAGGCGACGAUCCGUAACUGGUCUGUGAGGAUGAUCAGUCAUAGUGGAACAGGGAAACGGACCAGCAUCCCACGGGUGGCAACAGGGGGGAAUAUUGGAAAAAGGGGAGAAGCCUGAACCAGCCGUGGCGGGGGGGGGAAAAAAGUCUUCGGAUUGUAAAGCACUUUAAGGUGGGGGGAAGGGAAGUAAAUUAAUACCUUGGUGUUUUGGCUUUACCAACAAAAUAAGCACCGGCUAACUUCGG